UAUACAAUAAAAUUUUAAGAGACCAAAAGAUAUACAACCAACACAACCUAAUACAGCAAAUAUAAUACAAAAUUUUACUUUUGAAAAAAAAAUAUAAAAAAAAUAAAGGAUAGAAAAAAAAGUAAUAAACUUUCACCACAACAAUCACAUCAGUUCGAAUACCAUGUAAAUAAAAAGAACUUGAAAAAACUGAAUAAAGCUACCUAAAAAAUUUCAAUAUUACAAUAUAAAGAAUAUGUAAAUCUUUUAAAAGAACUUCUGAAAUUUGGACUAAGGCUCGAUUUGAUGAAGUUGCCAGCACCAAGUUCGGUAAUGCAGCAUGCAAACUCAUCCUCCGUCCACAGUAUGCUCGAUUUUGGCCUCGAAGCUCAUGGAUGAGGAAGAGAAAGUAGAGGAGAGAAGGGAGUUUUUGUAUGGGUUUCUACGAUUUACGGUUUAGAUUAGGAUUAAGAUGUGUGGACCAUUAAUUAGACGUUACGUGCGGAGGGAAGGCAAAAGGUUGGGUUAAGGUGGAUGGACCAUUAAUUUGACGUUAUGUACGGAGGGAAGGCGAAGGAUUGAAUUAAGGUGGGUGGACCAUUAAUUUGACGUUAUAUGCGGAGGGAAGGCAAAUGGUUAAAAUUAAGGUGGGUAGAUCUUUAAUUAGACGUUAUGGGUGGACGGAAGGUGAAGGGUCGGUUUCCCAAUGUGAAGCUCAAAAGUGAAGGAAACACAACCACGUGACAUUUCUUUUGGGAAUUAAUGUAUAGGUAUAGAUAUAGAUGUGCAAGCAACCUAUU
rnacentral:lncRNA from 1 species